UUCUAAAUGAUGUUGUCUUCUCCGCCGUUCCAGCUUACUUUCAAGUGAAAAAUUGAUCUGCUAUCUCUGAAUCAACAAUUUGUGAGGCUUGCUCUGUGGAUCAUCAAUAUUGUGCCCUGGAGAUUGUAACUUCCUUCUAUUAACAGCUCUCAAAACUGAGUUCUCUUGUGUAUGGGAUAGUUCUUCUUUUUUGGUGCAGAAAUGAGGGUGGUAGGUCCCAGAGACUUGCAUGUCCAAAUGUUAGGCAAAGGUGACAAAGGUAAGGAAAAAGUUGAUACUACGAAACCAAAAAAGAAUACACAACCUCCACCUUUUAGACGACCGACAGACAUUCAUAUAUCUGAGGGUCGUUUUGCUGAUGCGCCAGCACGACCCUCAUAUUCUAGGUCAUCCAAGGAUUCGAUACCUACUCCUAUGCAUGUGGGGCCACUACAUAGGUCUGCACAGACUCAUUCUGCUGCUAUGACCGUGCCACUACCAGCACGGUACUAUCAGACAACCGUUGGCUCCUCCAGACAUGUACCAUUAUUGAUACCCUCCUGCAGCAGUCACGCAGCUUCGCACAGUGAUUCUGCUGGAUCUAUUGGGUUGUUGGAUCUUCUACUUAGAGGCACUCCAUCUGGUGCUUCAGAUCCACCUACGCCAGUGCAUCCACCAUCACUUACUAGGCAGCCAGGAUACAAAGACGAUUCUAGAUGGAUUUAUCUUAUUCCAGUUGCGAGAGGGUUUAGGCCGGAUGUUGGAGUUGGACAAAAGGCGCGAAUAUGCAUUACUCGGCACUUCAACGGCUACUAGACCAGCUGGCAAAAUAUUCCAGAACUUGACAGGGAGAGAAUGUUUGAAGAAUUUAAGAAAUUUUACUGGUGGGAUGAUGCAAAUACAUUUCUUAUAAAUAAGAACUUUUUCAUAAGAUGUAGAGCUAGAUUUAACAAUCUCUUGGAUUAUGCCCGAAAGAAAAUGGUAAAACCUAAGUGGAUUCCUGAAGGCGCAUGACAACUGUACAUUCGCCAUUGGAGUAACACAAAAUACAAAUUGUUGAGUGACAAAGGAAAGAAAGCCCGGGCAUCAUCCAAGGGUGGCUCCCUACAUACUCCGGGUGCCGAAAGUACUCUUGCUGUGAAGGAAAAAAUGGAAAAAGAUAAGGGUAGGCGAAUACCAAUUGAUGAGCUAUUCGAGGAGACUCAUACGAAAAAAGAAAGGAACCGACUGAUGAAGGUGUCUGAGUUGAAGCUCGUGCAAAAGUUGUCCAUGACGAAUAUACGCGUCUUGUUGCUGAGUAUCGUAGUAGUCAGCCUCCUGAAAGUCAGGGUGACCUAAUACCCGAGCAUGUAGAGCAGGAGGUAUGGACAAAAGUUGUGGGUCCUGUAAAUAGAGGUCAUUUCUAUGAUUCCACACAAAAUUUUUUGGCGAUAAUAUUAGGUCUUCAUCCGGCGAUGCAUACUCUAGCUCUUCAGUUGAUAGAGAAACCAUUGAAAGACUACAAAUAUGGUUUCUCAACUCACUGAAGAGCUUGCUGAACAGAGAGAGAGGUUUGCUGAAUAGAGAGAGGCAGAAGAAGACCGAGAAGGUAACAACAUCACAAAUCAAGAUGCUGCAGUAGCAGUUCAGCUCUUUCAUUCAGACUGCGGGGGUUAUUUCUUCGUGUCCUGGUGAUGCAGUUCGGGUUGCAAAAGGUCUAGGCCCCCUGGAUGAUUUCAGCGAGGAUGAUGAUAUGGAAGACGAGGACGAAUUCAAUGAUGAUGACUUUUAGUUUUUUUAUUUUUGUAUGUGUUGUAUUUAUUAUUCAAACAUUUUGUUGUUUGAAAGUAUUGUUGUAGUUUUUUCAUAUUCACUUUUGUAGGAAAUUUUGUACGUGUUGUAGACUUUUGAAAGUAUUUCCGUUUAGUUUUUGGUUGUUCUUGCUGUUGUAUUGAUUUGGUUACUAUUGUAUUG